GCUGAAACUUAAAGGAAUUGACGGAAGGGCACCACCAGGAGUGGAGCCUGCGGCUUAAUUUGACCCAACACGGGAAACCUCACCCGGCCCGGACACGGACAGGAUUGACAGAUUGAUAGCUCUUUCUCGAUUCCGUGGGUGGUGGUGCAUGGCCGUUCUUAGUUGGUGGAGCGAUUUGUCUGGUUAAUUCCGAUAACGAACGAGACUCUGGCAUGCUAACUAGUUACGCGACCCCCGAGCGGUCGGCGUCCCCCAACUUCUUAGAGGGACAAGUGGCGUUCAGCCACCCGAGAUUGAGCAAUAACAGGUCUGUGAUGCCCUUAGAUGUCCGGGGCUGCACGCGCGCUACACUGACUGGCUCAGCGUGUGCCUACCCUACGCCGGCAGGCGCGGGUAACCCGUUGAACCCCAUUCGUGAUGGGGAUCGGGGAUUGCAAUUAUUCCCCAUGAACGAGGAAUUCCCAGUAAGUGCGGGUCAUAAGCUUGCGUUGAUUAAGUCCCUGCCCUUUGUACACACCGCC
rnacentral:rRNA from 1 species